GACGAACGCUGGCGGCGUGCUUAACACAUGCAAGUCGAACGGAAAGGCCCUGCUUUUGUGGGGUGCUCGAGUGGCGAACGGGUGAGUAACACGUGAGUAACCUGCCCUUGACUUUGGGAUAACUUCAGGAAACUGGGGCUAAUACCGGAUAGGAGCUCCUGCAGCAUGGUGGGGGUUGGAAAGUUUCGGCGGUUGGGGAUGGACUCGCGGCUUAUCAGCUUGUUGGUGGGGUAGUGGCUUACCAAGGCUUUGACGGGUAGCCGGCCUGAGAGGGUGACCGGGCACAUUGGGACUGAGAUACGGCCCAGACUCCUACGGGAGGCAGCAGUGGGGAAUAUUGCACAAUGGGCGGAAGCCUGAUGCAGCGACGCCGCGUGCGGGAUGACGGCCUUCGGGUUGUAAACCGCUUUCGCCUGUGACGAAGCGUGAGUGACGGUAAUGGGUAAAGAAGCACCGGCUAACUACGUG
rnacentral:rRNA from 1 species